AAACCCGAAAAGAAAGCAUUUCGAUUUACUUUUUAGGGUCGUUUGGAUCCGUUCACUUUAGGGCCCGUUUGUUUGAUUGGAAUUGGGUUGAAUUGGAAUUUAAUUCUUGGCUGAUUUGUUUGGCAAGUUAUAGAAUUGGAAAUUAACUUUCCAUCCAUUUCUUGGGCUGAAAUUAGAAGCAAAAAAAACAUUCCUACCCUAAAACGAGGAAACAGAUUCCUCCCGAGCGCCGCCCGCGCCCGUGCCGCCUCCUUCCCGAGCACGCCCGCGCCCGCGCCGCCUCCUCUUCCCCGAGCGCCGCGCCGCCUCCUCCUCCCCGAGCGUCGCGCCUCCUCCUUGGACUACGCCUCAGAUGCCUCACAACAACUUAGAAUUGGUUAGAAGAAAUUUGGGGGAAAUGAGAGAGAGGCGUAGGAAGAAGAGGCAAAGAGUAGCAUCAUUAUUUGUUGCAACGGUCAUGGGUAUGAUUGCGGAAUAUUAUUAUCGGAAAAGACCUAGACAUCUUAUGGAUCCCUCUGAGGUGAUAGAGAGAGAUGUAGCUGGUCGGAAACAAAUGCGCAAGUACGAGUCCUUAAUUGCACUUCCAUUGAUUCUGAGGAAGAGAUGGCUGUUGAAGCAACUUAAAAAGUGAACCAAGUUGUGGUUGGGUGAAUUGAACUGUUGUUGGGUGUGUUGAUGUUGCUGUCUUAGUUUAUGUUGGGUGAAUUGAACAUCACAUUGAGUAGCAAGUAAUGUGUUCCAAUGAUAUGUGGACAUUUGAGACAAAUCUGCAUCAUUAUUACUAUUCUCGUGAUGCAUUCUGCUUGAUAAAUUGUAGGGUGAAAACUUGUGUA